UAGGGAAUAUUAGUAAUGGGCGAAAGCCUGAACUAGCAACACCGCGUGUGCGAAGAAGGCCUUCGGGUUGUAAAGCACUUUUUGAGAGGAUGAGGAAGGACGGUACUCUCAGAAUAAGUCUCGGCUAACUACGUGCCAGCAGCCGCGGUAACACGUAGGAGACAAACGUUAUCCGGAUUUACUGGGCGUAAAGCGCGUGUAGGUGGUUUGGUAAGGAGAGCGUGAAAGCUCCUGGCUCAACUGGGAGAGGUCGUUCUAAACUGCCGGACUAGAGGAUGGUAGAGGGAGGUGGAAUUCCGGGUGUAGCAGUGAAAUGCGUAGAUAUCAGAUAGAACACCAAUGGCGAAGGCAGCUCGCUGGCUCAAUACUGACGCUAAAGCACGAAAGUGUGGGUAGCAAACA
rnacentral:rRNA from 1 species